AUGGGUGAUAUCGACAGCCUACGGAAUACUCUUGUGAACAUACUAUUGGAUCCAACUGUGGAGGCCAAACAGCUACCACUUUCACUUUUUGAGAAUAUCACUGAUAAUUUCUCAGAUGAACGUGUUGUGGGAAGAGGAGGGUUUGGUACCGUUUACAAGGGGUUUCUUCCAAAUGACAGAGUGGUCGCUGUUAAGAGGCUUAAGAUUAAUCGACGGGUUGUUGAUGAUAAGUCAUUUUAUGCUGAGGUUGCUAGUAUGAAGAUGCUGAGAAACAAGAACGUUGUACGGCUGCUAGGCUACUGCAUUCACAUGGAGGAAAAAGAAAUCUUAUAUGAUGGGGAAAAAAUUGUUGCAGAAAAGCGAGAAAGGCUGCUCUGCAUGGAGUUUGUACCCCACGGGCCCGUAAAAAAGGGUGGUCCACCCGGUGGAGCAGAAUGGCCUGACCGCCAUCAGAUAAUAAAGGGGAUCUGUAAUGGUUUAGAUUACAUUCACAGCAAAGGGUUUAUUCAUUUGGACUUGAAACCCGACAAUAUACUGUUGGACAAGGGCAUGGUACCGAAGAUCGCAGAUUUUGGUAUCUCACGGUUCUUUGAUGAUGAAAACACGUCCAGUACCCUCAGCUUUGUUGGAACAAGGGGAUACACGGCCCCAGAGUACAUCGACGAUGGCCUUGUGUCAAACAAGGCUGACAUAUACAGUCUUGGGACUGUAAUAUUUGAACUUCUGACAGAUUUUAAAGGCCCUAAGCUUUACCAAAAGGCACAAGAGGACAAUGAAAGUUUCGUACAACAGGAAUUAGAAAAGUGGACUGAGGCAUUGAGAAGAACUCACCAAGGGUGUGCACUUGAGUUUGCUACCAAAGAGGUGGAAACAUGCCUUAGGAUUGCAUUGAACUGUAAGGACCACAAUCGGCAUCGCAGGCGUACGGCAAAGCAAAUAUCACAAAUUCUUGAUCUGGAAGCUGUGCAUGUAGAGAACUUCAGUUCACUGCAAGACAUGGAUUUGCAUCCAAGUCAACCUUGGAUUCUGUUAAGUCUCUUGUCCGGGUACAUUGUAAUGUUAAACUACGACACCAAGGUAACUCUGGCACCGUUUAAACUGAGCGACAAGCCAGUUCAUUCAGCUAAAUUUGUGGAAGGGAACCGCGAUUGGAAUAUUGUGGCCGGUGACGAUCAUGGGGUCCUGUAUGUGUGCAACUUCGAUUGGAUUGAAGAGGGGCUCGUGAAGGUUAAAACUGUCGUUGCUAGUGAGGGUAAGGGUAUCAUAUCUCUGGCAGUCAAUCCAUCCCAGCGUUAUGUGUUACUAUCUACUGGAUCCACCAUUAUGAUCCGGAACACAGAGGACUGGACGUGUAUGUAUGAAGGGCCAAGCUACUUCAGAACAGUGACUCAUGCCUCUUUUAACACUGACAAGGAUGAAUCAUUUGGUGUUGGUUUCUGUGAUGGAUCAGUAAAGCUGUGGAGUCAUGAUCCUCUGACAGCUUCAGCAGGCAAUCAGGAGCCUUACGUUGUGGUGCGUGGUCAUUCAGAGCAAGUAUGCUCAGUCGAUUACUUCAUCGGCAAUUCUGAAGGACUUCACUCUCCUGCAAGGUUUCUAGUUACUGGAUCUAUGGAUAAGACUGCCAAGGUGUGGAAGUACGAUGAUAAGCCCAAGGAUUAUCUUGGGGUUGCAUCUGUUACAGAACCAGAAGCCACGCUUAAACAUGCCGGCGGUGUAACUGCGACCUGCUAUGUCCCCGAGUUGAAAAUCAUAUUAAGUGGAACAGAUAACGGAGUUGUCACGGUGUGGUGCGCAGUAACAUACAGCUGGAAGAGGUACCUAUGCUUUGGUCUCGGGCGAGUUCACAGUCUAGCAUGUUCAACUGGAGGAAGGAUAUUCAUCGGACAUGAGCAUGGACUGGUACUGGUAGAUAUUGGUCUGCAACAGCUUUGA
rnacentral:rRNA from 1 species